rnacentral:rRNA from 1 species
AGAGUUUGAUCCUGGCUCAGGACGAACGCUGGCGGCGUGCCUAAUACAUGCAAGUCGAACGCUUCUUUUUCCACCGGAGCUUGCUCCACCGGAAAAAGAGGAGUGGCGAACGGGUGAGUAACACGUGGGUAACCUGCCCAUCAGAAGGGGAUAACACUUGGAAACAGGUGCUAAUACCGUAUAACAAUCGAAACCGCAUGGUUUUGAUUUGAAAGGCGCUUUCGGGUGUCGCUGAUGGAUGGACCCGCGGUGCAUUAGCUAGUUGGUGAGGUAACGGCUCACCAAGGCCACGAUGCAUAGCCGACCUGAGAGGGUGAUCGGCCACAUUGGGACUGAGACACGGCCCAAACUCCUACGGGAGGCAGCAGUAGGGAAUCUUCGGCAAUGGACGAAAGUCUGACCGAGCAACGCCGCGUGAGUGAAGAAGGUUUUCGGAUCGUAAAACUCUGUUGUUAGAGAAGAACAAGGAUGAGAGUAACUGUUCAUCCCUUGACGGUAUUUAACCAGAAAGCCACGGCUAACUACGUGCCAGCAGCCGCGGUAAUACGUAGGUGGCAAGCGUUGUCCGGAUUUAUUGGGCGUAAAGCGAGCGCAGGCGGUUUCUUAAGUCUGAUGUGAAAGCCCCCGGCUCAACCGGGGAGGGUCAUUGGAAACUGGGAGACUUGAGUGCAGAAGAGGAGAGUGGAAUUCCAUGUGUAGCGGUGAAAUGCGUAGAUAUAUGGAGGAACACCAGUGGCGAAGGCGGCUCUCUGGUCUGUAACUGACGCUGAGGCUCGAAAGCGUGGGGAGCAAACAGGAUUAGAUACCCUGGUAGUCCACGCCGUAAACGAUGAGUGCUAAGUGUUGGAGGGUUUCCGCCCUUCAGUGCUGCAGCUAACGCAUUAAGCACUCCGCCUGGGGAGUACGACCGCAAGGUUGAAACUCAAAGGAAUUGACGGGGGCCCGCACAAGCGGUGGAGCAUGUGGUUUAAUUCGAAGCAACGCGAAGAACCUUACCAGGUCUUGACAUCCUUUGACCACUCUAGAGAUAGAGCUUCCCCUUCGGGGGCAAAGUGACAGGUGGUGCAUGGUUGUCGUCAGCUCGUGUCGUGAGAUGUUGGGUUAAGUCCCGCAACGAGCGCAACCCUUAUUGUUAGUUGCCAUCAUUCAGUUGGGCACUCUA